GAUGAACGCUGGCGGCGUGCCUAACACAUGCAAGUCGAACGGAGUUGAUCCUUCGGGAUUAACUUAGUGGCGAACGGGUGAGUAACGCGUGAGAAACCUGCCUUUCAGUGGGGGACAACAGUUGGAAACGACUGCUAAUACCGCAUAAUGUACACGGACCGCAUGAUCUGUGUACCAAAGCUUUAUGUGCUGAAAGAUGGUCUCGCGUCUGAUUAGCUAGUUGGUGAGGUAACGGCUCACCAAGGCGACGAUCAGUAGCCGGUCUGAGAGGAUGAACGGCCACAUUGGGACUGAGAUACGGCCCAGACUCCUACGGGAGGCAGCAGUGGGGAAUAUUGGGCAAUGGGGGAAACCCUGACCCAGCAACGCCGCGUGAAGGAAGAAGGCCUUCAGGUUGUAAACUUCUUUUAGCAGGGACGAAGAACGUGACGGUACCUGCAGAAAAAGCAACGGCUAACUACGUG
rnacentral:rRNA from 1 species